UACGUAGGGGGCAAGCGUUGUCCGGAAUCAUUGGGCGUAAAGCGCGUGUAGGCGGUCCGAUCAGUCGGCUGUGAAAGUCCAGGGCUCAACCCUGGGAUGCCGGUCGAUACUGUCAAGCUCGAGUCCGGAAGAGGCGAGUGGAAUUCCUGGUGUAGCGGUGAAAUGCGCAGAUAUCAGGAGGAACACCAAUGGCGAAGGCAGCUCGCUGGGACGUGACUGACGCUGAGACGCGAAAGCGUGGGGAGCAAACAGG
rnacentral:rRNA from 1 species